UACGAAGGGGGCUAGCGUUGUUCGGAAUUACUGGGCGUAAAGGGCGCGUAGGCGGUCUGAAUCGUCGGAUGUGAAAGGCCUGGGCUUAACCUGGGAAUGGCAUUCGAGACGGUCGGACUGGAGUGUGGGAGAGGUUGGUGGAAUUCCCAGUGUAGAGGUGAAAUUCGUAGAUAUUGGGAAGAACACCGGUGGCGAAGGCGGCCAACUGGACCACAACUGACGCUGAGGCGCGAAAGCGUGGGGAGCAAACAGG
rnacentral:rRNA from 1 species